rnacentral:lncRNA from 1 species
CUUUUCUUUCCUCUAUAGCAAGCAAAAACUGAUCCUGCUAAAUUUAACGGCAAUAUAUUAAAUUAGGGAGUCAUCAUUCCUCUGAUGUGAACUAAUUCUACUGUGCCACUAGACCUUUCUACCACCUGCACGCAGAAUUGCUGAACUGCUCUCUCAUGCCUGAAUGCCUGCAGGGUCUGUGCCUGUGAAUUGAGGUGGUGGAAUGGAUUGAGCAGCAUCUGAAGGGUGUUUGAGAUUUAGAGGGAACACGACGCUCUUAUUGGUGCACCUUUCCUUCAGGAUAUCUGUCUCCAGCAAGCUCCCCAUUUCCUACUUGCUGUUGCUGUUAGAAGUAUGUGUGCAAAGUCACGAUGCUGAAUGUCAGGAGUCUGUAAGUGAGCGCCAAAGGCUUUUUGCCUUUGGAAUAAAAUGAAUAAACUUUUAUGUUUUUAGACUUCUUCCCAUUUUGUUUUCAGAUUCAUACUUGUGUAUUCUGUGACUAAACCAAAGAGAUAUAGUAUAGUUAAAGGUGUAGGCUCGAGAGUGUGACUGUCAAAGCUCAAAUCCCAGCCCUGUCACUGAGCUGUGUGACCUUGGGCAAGUUAUUCAAUCUCCUUUGCCUCAGUUUCCCUAUCUGUGAAAAGGGG